AAAUAUGACUAAAACGUCAUAGUUUAGUAUGUCGUCCAAAAUGUCACAAAAACGUCAUAGUUUAGUAUGUCGUCCAAAAUAUCACAAAAACGUCAUAAUUUAGUGUCUCGUCCAAAAAACGACAAAAACGUCAUAGUUUAGUAUGUCGUCCAAAAUGUCCCUAAAACCUCAUAGUUUAUGUCGUCCAAAAUGUCACAAAAACGUCAUAGUUUAGUAUGUCGUCCAAAAUGUCACAAAAACGUCAUAGUUUAGUAUGUCGUCCAAAAUAUGACUAAAACGUCAUAGUUUAGUAUGUCGUCCAAAAUGUCACAAAAACGUCAUAGUUUAGUAUGUCGUCCAAAAUAUCACAAAAAUGUCAUGUCGUCCAAAAAAACGACAAAAACAUCAUAGUUUAGUAUGUCGUCCAAAAUAUGACAAAAACCUCAUAGUUUAUGUCGUCCAAAAUGUCACAACAACCUCAUAGUUUAGUAUGUCGUCCAAAAUAUGAGUAAAACCUCAUAGUUUAGUGUCAUCCAAAAUGUCACAAAAACGUCAUAGUUUGGUAUGUCGCCAAAAAUAUCACAAAAACGUCAGUUUAGUAUGUCGUCCAAAAAACGACAAAAACGUCAUAGUUUAGUAUGUUGUCCAAAAUAUGACUAAAACGUCAUAGUUUAGUAUGUUGUCCAAAAUGUCACAAUUUAGUAUGUCCUCCAAAAAAUGACAAAAACAUCAUAGUUUAGUAUGUCGUCCAAAAUAUGACUAAAAUGUCAUACUUUAGUAUGUCGUCCAAAAUAUGACUAAAACGUCAUAGUUUAGUAUGUCGUCCAAAAUGUCACAAAAACGUCAUAAUUUGGUGUGUCGUCCAAAAAACGACAAAAACGUCAUAGUUUAGUAUGUCGUCCAAAAUAUCACAAAAAUGUCAAGUCGUCCAAAAAACGACAAAAACGUCAUAGUUUAGUAUGUCGUCCAAAAUAUCACAAAAAUGUCAAGUCGUCCAAAAAAACGACAAAAACGUCAUAGUUUAGUAUGUCGUCCAAAAUGUCCCUAAAACCUCAUAGUUUAUGUCGUCCAAAAUGUCACAACAACCUCAUAGUUUAGUAUGUCGUCCAAAAUAUGAGUAAAACCUCAUAGUUUAGUAUGUCAUCCAAAAUGUGACAAAAACGUCAUAGUUUAGUAUGUCGUCCAAAAUAUGACUAAAACGUCAUAGUUUAGUAUGUCGUCCAAAAUGUCACAAAAACGUCAUAGUUUAGUAUGUCGUCCAAAAAACGACAACGUCAUAGUUUAGUAUGUCGUCCAAAAUAUCACAAAAACGUCAUACUUUAGUAUGUCGUCCAAAAUAUGACUAAAACGUCAUAGUUGAGUAUGUCGUCCAAAAAACGACAAAAACGUCAUAGUUUAGUAUGUUGUCCAAAAUAUGACUAAAACGUCAUACUUUAAUAUGUCGUCCAAAAAACGACAAAAACGUCAUAGUUUAGUAUGUCGUCCAAAAUGUCACAAAAACGUCAUAGUUUAGUAUGUCGUCCAAAAAAUGACAACAACGUCAUAGUUUAGUAUGUCGUCCAAAAAAACGACAAAAACAUCAUAGUUUAGUAUGUCGUCCAAAAUGUCACAAAAACAUCAUAGUUUAGUAUGUCGCCAAAAAUGACUAAAACGUCAUAGUUUAAUAUGUCAUCCAAAAUUUCACAAAAACAUCAUAGUUUAGUAUGUCGUCCAAAAUAUGACUAAAACAUCAUAAUUUAGUGUGUCGUCCAAAAAACGACAAAAACGUCAUAGUUUAGUAUGUCGUCCAAAAUAUCACAAAAACGUCAAAGUUUAGUAUGUCGUCCAAAAAAACGACAAAAACAUCAUAGUUUAGUAUGUCGUCCAAAAUAUGACAAAAACCUCAUAGUUUAGUAUGUCGUCCAAAAUGUCCCUAAAACCUCAUAGUUUAUGUCGUCCAAAAUGUCACAACAACCUCAUAGUUUAGUAUGUCGUCCAAAAUAUGAGUAAAACCUCAUAGUUUAGUAUGUCGUCCAAAAUGUGACCAAAACGUCAUAGUUUGGUAUGUCGCCAAAAAUAUGACUAAAACGUCAUAGUUUAGUAUGUCGUCCAAAAAACGACAAAAACGUCAUAGUUUAGUAUGUCGUCCAAAAUGUCACAAAAACGUCAUAAUUUGGUGUCGUCCAAAAAACGACAAAAACGUCAUAGUUUAGUAUGUCGUCCAAAAUAUCACAAAAAUGUCAAGUCGUCCAAAAAACGACAAAAACGUCAUAGUUUAGUAUGUCGUCCAAAAUAUCACAAAAAUGUCAAGUCGUCCAAAAAAACGACAAAAACGUCAUAGUUUAGUAUGUCGUCCAAAAUGUCCCUAAAACCUCAUAGUUUAUGUCGUCCAAAAUGUCACAACAACCUCAUAGUUUAGUAUGUCGUCCAAAAUAUGAGUAAAACCUCAUAGUUUAGUAUGUCAUCCAAAAUGUGACAAAAACGUCAUAGUUUAGUAUGUCGUCCAAAAUAUGACUAAAACGUCAUAGUUUAGUAUGUCGUCCAAAAUGUCACAAAAACGUCAUAGUUUAGUAUGUCGUCCAAAAAACGACAACGUCAUAGUUUAGUAUGUCGUCCAAAAUGUCACAAAAACGUCAUAGUUUAGUAUGUCGUCCAAAAUAUCACAAAAACGUCAUACUUUAGUAUGUCGUCCAAAAUAUGACUAAAACGUCAUAGUUGAGUAUGUCGUCCAAAAAACGACAAAAACGUCAUAGUUUAGUAUGUUGUCCAAAAUAUGACUAAAACGUCAUACUUUAGUAUGUCGUCCAAAAUAUGACUAAAACGUCAUAGUUUAGUAUGUCGUCCAAAAUAUGACUAAAACGUCAUACUUUAGUAUGUCGUCCAAAAUAUGACUAAAACGUCAUACUUUAGUAUGUCGUCCAAAAUAUGACUAAAACGUCAUAGUUUAGUAUGUCGUCCAAAAAACGACAAAAACGUCAUAGUUUAGUAUGUCGUCCAAAAUGUCACAAAAACGUCAUAGUUUAGUAUGUCGUCCAAAAAAUGAC